CCUACGGGGGGCAGCAGUGAGGAAUAUUGGUCAAUGGGCGAGAGCCUGAACCAGCCAAGUCGCGUGAGGGAUGACGGUCCUAUGGAUUGUAAACCUCUUUUGUCGGGGAACAAAGGCGUCCACGUGUGGACUGAUGAGUGUACCCGAAGAAAAAGCAUCGGCUAACUCCGUGCCAGCAGCCGCGGUAAUAAGGGGGAUGCGAGCGUUAUCCGGAUUUAUUGGGGUUAAAGGGUGCGUAGGCGGACAGUCAAGUCAGCGGUAAAAAUGCGGUGAUCAACGCCAUACAGCCGUUGAAACUGGGAGUCUUGAGUGGGCGGGAAGUAUGCGGAAUGCGUGGUGUAGCGGUGAAAUGUAUAGAUAUCGCGCAGAACUCCGAUUGCGAAGGCAGCAUACCGGCGCCCUACUGACGCUGAGGCACGAAAGCGUGGGUAUCGAACAGGAUUAGAUACCCUUGUAGUC
rnacentral:rRNA from 1 species